UUUUUCAGUAGACUUAAAAUUAACUGUGCUGUUUUUUGUUGGUAUCAAUACUUUAAAUGAUUGAUUUAUGCCUAAGCAAGUGAAGUAAUGCUAUUUAUCAGAAGAAUAUGUAUUACAUCUUACUCUUCUAUAAACCUUUCAUUCUAGGACACUUCAUAUUGACACUUUGAGGACAUUAGCCUAGUACAACCAUGUGCUGCAUUUUUAUAAUAACCUGGUUAUCAUAACCGGGUGAGCUGGGAGUAGAGGAGAGCAAGGACAGUGACAGAUAUGGAUAGUGGAAGUCCUGACCCUUGGACACUGUUUCUGGCCAUGAGAUUCAGACACU